GGGUCAGUAGGUUGGUCGUGCCACCGGUACGUACUGGACUCACUGAUUCCUCCUUCCUGAAGAACCGUAAUGCCAUUAAUUUGGUGUUGCGGAGAAACAGGACUGUUACUUUGAAAAAAUUAGAGUGUUUAAAGCAAGCUAACGCUUGAAUACAUUAGCAUGGAAUAAUGAAAUAGGACGAUCGAUCCUAUUUUGUUGGUUUCUAGGAUUGACGUA
rnacentral:rRNA from 1 species